rnacentral:rRNA from 1 species
CUACGGGUCGCUGCAGUCGAGAAUCUUCCGCAAUGGGCGCAAGCCUGACGGAGCAAUGCCGCGUGAGGGAUGACGGCCCUAGGGUUGUAAACCUCUGUCAGAAGGGACGAAGAACGUGACGGUACCUUCAGAGGAAGCCAUGGCUAACUACGUGCCAGCAGCCGCGGUAAUACGUAGAUGGCGAGCGUUAUUCGGAUUUACUGGGCGUAAAGGGUCCGUAGGGGGUCUGCCAAGUCUGAUGUGAAAUCCUGCGGCUCAACCGCGGAACUGCAUUGGAAACUGGCGGACUAGAGUGUGCGAGGGGUGAGCGGAAUUCCUGGUGUAGCGGUGGAAUGCGUAGAUAUCAGGAAGAACACCGAUGGCGAAGGCGGCUCACUGGCGCAUCACUGACCCUGAGGGACGAAAGCGUGGGUAGCAAACAGGAUUAGAUACCCCUGUAGUC